AGUCUGUCUAUCUUUUUUAUACAUAACGUAACAUCCUAAUUGAUAGCAAUGUCUCCUUUUUAGGACAACGAUAAACUUUCACAACUUCGAAUUCCUUGGAUUUUCAAUGUAUCUUUAAAGAGAUUGGAUUUGUCUUCUGUUUCUUCUUCUUCUUCUUUUUCUUCUUCUUCUACGGGAUACAAGGUCAUUUUUCUGGAGAAAUAUUUCUGCAAUGGGUUUUAUCCGACAAAUCGUCGCCAGCAGAAAGCCAUCUCACGCAGAAAAGUGAUCGCCAAUUGAACCCCUCCCUUUCUUUUGCCCCGAUCGAUCUACACAUUUUAACUCUUAAAUGUCCUUGAGCUCGAGAAGGAGAAAAAAAAGGAGAUUUGGCAGACAGACAAUGAGGAUAAUUGAUAUUAUUUCUUUCUUCUUUUAUUAUUCUUCGAUUAACGACAUCUUCUCUUUUUUUCUUGUUGUUCUUUUCUAAUUCAAACUUUCUUCUCGUAUUUGUUUUUAUUUUCGUAAAAAUAAUUAAUUAAAUUUUUAAGGAAAGCAAUGGAACGCAAGAUACAGGAAUAUAAUGAGAUCAGUUUCUAUUACACUUUCAAGUAUCUUUAUUUGAUCGAGAUUUGUUAAAGUGGAAAAAUCAUAAAUAAAAAUUAUUCAAGCGGAUAAUAAUUGAUGAAUAAAAAAGAAUGAACGCAGCAUGAUUGGAUAAUGUUGUUUUUUUGUUGAAUAAUCAGAUAUUUUAACUUAAAUAUAUUAUUUUAAAUAUAACAAGAAAUACAAGAAAUAAAGAAAUAUUUUCUUUCGAU